AUUGAACGCUGGCGGCAUGCUUUACACAUGCAAGUCGAACGGCAGCACGGGUGCUUGCACCUGGUGGCGAGUGGCGAACGGGUGAGUAAUGCAUCGGAACGUGCCCAUGAGUGGGGGAUAGCCCGGCGAAAGCCGGAUUAAUACCGCAUACGCCCUUAGGGGGAAAGCGGGGGAUCUUCGGACCUCGCGCUAUUGGAGCGGCCGAUGUCGGAUUAGCUAGUAGGUGAGGUAAAGGCUCACCUAGGCGACGAUCCGUAGCUGGUCUGAGAGGAUGAUCAGCCACACUGGGACUGAGACACGGCCCAGACUCCUACGGGAGGCAGCAGUGGGGAAUUUUGGACAAUGGGCGCAAGCCUGAUCCAGCCAUGCCGCGUGAGUGAAG
rnacentral:rRNA from 1 species